UACGGAGGGUGCAAGCGUUAUCCGGAUUUAUUGGGUUUAAAGGGUGCGCAGGCGGGGCCUUAAGUCAGUGGUGAAAUCCCUUCGCUUAACGAAGGAACUGCCAUUGAUACUGAGGUUCUUGAAUCUAGUUGACGUUAGUGGAAUGUGUCAUGUAGCGGUGAAAUGCUUAGAUAUGACACAGAACACCGAUCGCGAAGGCAGCCAACGAAGCUAGUAUUGACGCUCAGGCACGACAGCAUGGGGAGCAAACAGG
rnacentral:rRNA from 1 species